rnacentral:rRNA from 1 species
UACGGGGGGGGCAAGCGUUGUUCGGAAUUACUGGGCGUAAAGGGCUCGUAGGCGGCCAACUAAGUCAGACGUGAAAUCCCCAGGCUCAACCUGGGAACUGCGUCUGAUACUGGAUGGCUUGAAUCCGGGAGAGGGAUGCAGAAUUCCAGGUGUAGCGGUGAAAUGCGUAGAUAUCUGGAGGAAUACCAGUGGCGAAGGCGGCAUCCUGGACCGGCAUUGACGCUGAGGAGCGAAAGCGUGGGGAGCGAACAGG